rnacentral:rRNA from 1 species
GAUGAACGCUGGCGGCGUGCCUAAUACAUGCAAGUCGAGCGAACAGACGAGGAGCUUGCUCCUCUGACGUUAGCGGCGGACGGGUGAGUAACACGUGGAUAACCUACCUAUAAGACUGGGAUAACUUCGGGAAACCGGAGCUAAUACCGGAUAAUAUAUUGAACCGCAUGGUUCAAUAGUGAAAGACGGUUUUGCUGUCACUUAUAGAUGGAUCCGCGCCGCAUUAGCUAGUUGGUGAGGUAACGGCUUACCAAGGCAACGAUGCGUAGCCGACCUGAGAGGGUGAUCGGCCACACUGGAACUGAAACACGGUCCAGACUCCUACGGGAGGCAGCAGUAGGGAAUCUUCCGCAAUGGGCGAAAGCCUGACGGAGCAACGCCGCGUGAGUGAUGAAGGUCUUCGGAUCGUAAAACUCUGUUAUUAGGGAAGAACAAAUGUGUAAGUAACUAUGCACGUCUUGACGGUACCUAAUCAGAAAGCCACGGCUAACUACGUG